rnacentral:rRNA from 1 species
UGGGGAAUAUUGCACAAUGGGCGCAAGCCUGAUGCAGCAACGCCGCGUGCGGGAUGACGGCCUUCGGGUUGUAAACCGCUUUCAUCCAUGACGAAGCGAGAGUGACGGUAAUGGAAGAAGAAGCACCGGCUAACUACGUGCCAGCAGCCGCGGUGAUACGUAGGGUGCGAGCGUUGUCCGGAUUUAUUGGGCGUAAAGAGCUUGUAGGCGGUUUGUCGCGUCGGGAGUGAAAACUCAGGGCUUAACCCUGAGCCUGCUUCCGAUACGGGCAGACUUGAGGAAGGUAGGGGAGAUUGGAAUUCCUGGUGAAGCGGUGGAAUGCGUAGAUAUCAGGAGGAACACCAGUGGCGAAGGCGGAUCUCUGGACCUUUCCUGACGCUGAGAAGCGAAAGCGUGGGGAGCAAACA